UUGACAGGAUUUCUAACCAUUUUCUUUAUCGUGAGGAAAAAUCGUAUCUAUAGAAAAGCAGAGCGCCCCCCCCCAUAUUCCCACGCCCUCAGAGGAGCUAAGGUGGGGCAAUAGAAAAGCAUCUCGAGGAAUGUCACUGUCUGGAAGAUCAAGCAAGAGAUUCUUCUGCAUUAAUCUUAGACUUUCUGGACUGUGAGCUUCUGGACUGUAAGUAGCUUUAUAGUGUUUCUUCUGGUUCUGUUUCACAAUGAGGAUUAAAGGACUUUUCCUUUCUUUAUAAAGGAUAAAGAGGCUUGGAGAUUCAAGCUUGACGAAAUGAUCAUGAAAGGG